rnacentral:misc_RNA from 1 species
GAUGAAGAACGCAGCGAAAUGCGAUAAGUAAUGUGAAUUGCAGAAUUCAGUGAAUCAUCGAAUCUUUGAACGCACAUUGCGCCCGCCAGUAUUCUGGCGGGCAUGCCUGUUCGAGCGUCAUUUCAACCAUCAAGCCCUGCUUGCGUUGGGGUCCUGCGGCUGCCCGCAGGCCCUGAAAACCAGUGGCGGGCUCGCUAGUCACACCGAGCGCAGUAAUCCAUCUCGCUUUGGGCGUGCGGCGGGUUCUUGCCGUUAAACACCCCCUUUUUACCAAGGUUGACCUCGGAUCAGGUAGGAAUACCCGCUGAACUUAAGCAUAUCAAUAAGCGGAGGA